AGUUUGAUCAUGGCUCAGGACGACGCUGGCGGCGUGCUUAACACAUGCAAGUCGAACGGAAAGGCCCCCUUGUGGGGUACUCGAGUGGCGAACGGGUGAGUAACACGUGAGUAACCUACCUUGACUUUGGGAUAACUUCAGGAAACUGGGGCUAAUACCGGAUAGGAGCUCCUGCUGCAUGGUGGGGGUUGGAAAGUUUCGGCGGUUGGGGAUGGACUCGCGGCUUAUCAGCUUGUUGGUGGGGUAGUGGCUCACCAAGGCUUUGACGGGUAGCCGGCCUGAGAGGGUGACCGGCCACAUUGGGACUGAGAUACGGCCCAGACUCCUACGGGAGGCAGCAGUGGGGAAUAUUGCACAAUGGGCGGAAGCCUGAUGCAGCAACGCCGCGUGCGGGAUGACGGCCUUCGGGUUGUAAACCGCUUUCGCCUGUGACGAAGCGUGAGUGACGGUAAUGGGUAAAGAAGCACCGGCUAACUACGUG
rnacentral:rRNA from 1 species